rnacentral:tRNA from 2 species
GGAGAGGUGGCCGAGUGGUUGAUGGCGCCCGCUUGGAAAGCGUGUAUGCGGGGAACCGUAUCGAGGGUUCGAAUCCCUUCCUCUCCUCCA